rnacentral:lncRNA from 1 species
CUGGCACUACAAAACCGGUUGAGGAGAUGAAAACCUCAAUGAGAUAGGUGACGGUUCUCGAAAAUAAGAUCAUCGGCACCACAAAAUCGGUUGAGAAUAUGAAAAUCUCAAUGAGGUAGGUAACUGGUCUCGAAAAUCAGACAGUCAGAACCACAAAACCGGUUGAAAAGAUGAAGACCUCAAUAAGGUAGGCAACCGGUCUUGAAAAUAAGACUGCUGGCACUACAAAACCGGUUGAGGAGAUGAAAACCUCAAUGAGAUAGGUGACGGUUCUUGAAAAUAAGAUCGUCGGACCACAAAAUCGGUCGAGAAUAUGAAAAUCUCAAUGAGGUAGGUAACCGGUCUCGAAAAUCAGACAGUCAGAACCACAAAACCGGUUGAAAAGAUGAAGGCCUCAAUGAGGUAGGCGACCGGUCUCAAAAAUAAGACCGCCGACACCACAAAACCGGUUGAGGAGAUGAAGAUCUCAAUGAUGUAGGUGAUCGGUCUCAUAAAUAAGACCGCCGAUACCACAAAACCGAUUAAGAAGAUGAGGAUCUCAAUAAAGUAGGUGAUCGGUCUCGAAAAUAAGACUGCUGACACCACAAAACCAGUUGAGAAAAUAAAAAUCUCAAUGAGAUAGGUAACCGGUCUCGAAAAUAAGAUUAUCGGCACAACAAAACCGGUCUCAAUGAAUUUCCCUUCAAAAUUCAUAAGUGUCAACCAAACGAACAGAUGACGUCGAGUUAGCAGGAUGGGUUCCCUUCUCCGACGAUCAAAAAUAACCAUCGGAGAAGCAAAAGGGCAACUGAUAACGUAUAAAAAAUUGGACCCCCAAGAUCGUGACACGUAUACACGUGAAUCGAAAGUCUUUCUAUCUAGUUGGAUCGGACAGUAAGAAACCCGACCUAUUGAGUACAAAGAAUCAGACCAACAAUACUCCUGAAUUUACCAAAAUCGAAACGGAAAGAUCGAACUCCUCAAAAGCCCGUACUACAAUAAGACUUUGAACGCCGACGUGGCCAACCUCAGUAACCAGAAUGAGCUCAUUUCUAUGUAGGUCGGAUGAGCCCGACACAACCUAAUGAAGCCGAAGUAAAAAUACCGACCUCCUAUGAGUUGGUCACCUCCUUGGUACAGCACAGGGAUCAUAAGUGCGCAUGUAGAGGAUACGAACCGGCCAGCUUCACAUUUACUAUCCUAUAACCCAUCAUUAAUGUAUUGCCUAAUACACAUGCACAGAACUAAAGGCAUCAACUUUAUUCAAAGGUAUUUAUAUGCCGAACUCACCCUAAAAAGGAAUCUCUCCUCUGAAAAAGGUCUAUCUCUCUCUCUGUCACACAGAGAGAACCCGAAAUCGCUAUCCUCUUCUCUUAUCUGUUUUACUUCCCUUAACUCCACUAAGUUCUCAGAUCUACUUGAGCGUCGAAGGGUCUCCACCGAGAACUCCCUGGUGGACCCCUGACCGUCUUUUUCAUCUUAUAGGACCCCUUCCUCAAAGCCAAGCAUAGAGAGAACCAACGGACCGAUCACAAAUUGAUUAUCAACCCAGCAAAUCAAACAUCUGCCUAGAUGUCCUCAUUUGGACACCCCGUCGGAUCUCAGCAUUAUCAUACUGUUAUUUAUAGGUUUAUGGGGAUACCAUUACUGACACCUUCUUUAAAUAAUAGCAGUAAAAGAAUUGUAAUCCACAACAGCCUUUAGCCAGAUAGGGAUUCUUAUUACUUUGUGGUGCAGAGAGCCAGAGAUUUAUUUUGCUUACAGUUUCUACACUUCUCCAUUUGUUUCUCUCAAAUUUCACAUCUUCAUAAAUCUUCAUUACUAAAGCUUACAUCAUCAAAUAGUGCAUGUUUAUUUGAAGUAAAGGAGAGCAAAUAAUCUAGAUUUCUACAUCCAUAUUCUCCCAAUCCAUCCAAGAUCAAUUUUGCAAUGAGCCACACUCCAUUGCCAAUUCAGGAUCCUACUUAUAUUAGUUUUAAAUUGAUUAUUGCUAACAAAUGGCUAAGAAUGAUGGAUAUACUGUCU